UUGCUUUUAUUUCCUAAUUUUAUGCGUACAUUCCCUAGACAUAGAUGAGUGUGCAGUAUGCCCAUAAACUAAAUCUAAUUCUGAAAAGGUUAGAUUAUUUGGAUGACUCCAGACAUAGAGCAGCGUUGGUAACAACCCUCACCUGUACCCAACGUCAGGACAAGGUUCGAGGUGCUACCGGGCUUACACAUUCACAAACACACUAAAUCGG
rnacentral:lncRNA from 1 species